CAAUAGCGUAUAUUAAAGCUGUUGCGGUUAAAAAGCUCGUAGUUGGAUUUCUGUCAAGGACAACUGGUCCGCCCUCCGGGUGAGCACAUAGUUUGGUCUUGGCAUCUUGCUGGAAACUGUUGCUGCACUUGGUUGUGUGGCGCAGCAUCCAGCACUUUCACUUUGAGGAAAUUGGAGUGUUUCAAGCAGGCACAUGCCUUUGGACACAGUAGCAUGGAAUAAUUAGAUUGGGCUUUGGUUAUAUUUUGUUGGUUUGCAAGCUAAGGUAAUGAUUAAUAGGAACAUAUUGGGGAUAUCUGUAUUUUUUAGUCAGAGGUGAAAUUCUUGGAUUUAAGAAAGACAAACUACAGCGAAAGCAUUUAUCAAGGAUGUUUUCAUUGA
rnacentral:rRNA from 1 species